rnacentral:rRNA from 1 species
CCCUCCCUCUGGCGGCAGGCCUAACACAUGCAAGUCGAGCGCCCUUUCGGGGGAGCGGCGGACGGGUGAGUAACGCGUGGGAAUAUGCCCUUCUCUACGGAAUAGCCUCGGGAAACUGAGAGUAAUACCGUAUACGCCCUGUGGGGGAAAGAUUUAUCGGGGAAGGAUUAGCCCGCGUUGGAUUAGGUAGUUGGUGGGGUAAUGGCCUACCAAGCCGACGAUCCAUAGCUGGUUUGAGAGGAUGAUCAGCCACACUGGGACUGAGACACGGCCCAGACUCCUACGGGAGGCAGCAGUGGGGAAUCUUAGACAAUGGGGGCAAACCUGAUCUAGCCAUGCCGCGUGAGUGAUGAAGGCCUUAGGGUUGUAAAGCUCUUUCAGCUGGGAAGAUAAUGACGGUACCAGCAGAAGAAGCCCCGGCUAACUCCGUG